rnacentral:rRNA from 1 species
AUGCCUUCCUGGAACGACGAGGAAACCAGCUCGGAGGAGGAGUGCGAGGCUGUCAGCAUGGACAUGGGACUUAUGGAGGAACCAGACACCACUGUGGAGCCCCUUUUCUGUGGCCAACUUGAGCUUGCUCAUCCCAAGUGCAUUCUGCACCAACUGAGGCCUAUUAAGCAUGUUGCUUUUGAAGGGCCUGUAACAGGGAGGCAUUUCUAUGGCUGCCCAGUCCAGGAAAAUGGUGUGAAUUGUGGUGUUGCAGAGUGGGUUGAUGGGCCUUGGCCAACUGUUCUUCAGAGAUGUUUGUGCAAGCUAUGGGAGAUGUUCCAUGAGCAGAACUUUGGAAGGGUACAGGACAAGGAGAAGUUUGAGCAGGAGUUGGCAAGGCUUAAGAGUGAACAUGAAAGGGAGUUGGCCAAGCUGAGGACUAAAAAUGACAAGCUUUGCAUUGAGUACACCAAGCUUGUUGAUGAUGUAUCCAAGAUGUUUGAUUGGCAGGAUGGUAGGGUGGACAAGAAACAAGUGGAGGAGGAAGAACUUGAGAAGAAGAAGGAGCUAGAGGAGAAAGCCAUGUUGGAGGUGCAGAUGGAAAAGCUCAAACUUGCAAAAGAGCAGAGGUGCAUUUUGCAGAGCCAAGCUGUUAUCAUCAAGAACACUAGGAAGGCUAUGAAGGAUGUUGAAGUUGACAGAGAUGUUCUUAAGAAGGAGAAGGCAAAGCUUGAGCUUGUUGUUGCUGAGCUGCUGAAUGAAGGGUAUGGCAGCAAGGAGAAGUUAGAGCAAAUCAAGGCCAUCCUUGAGUCUUGA